CGGACCGGCGCACGGGUGAGUAACGCGUAUGCAACCUGCCCGAUACCGGGGUAUAGCCCAUGGAAACGUGGAUUAACACCCCAUAGUACUUUUAUCCUGCAUGGGAUGUGAGUUAAAUGUUCAAGGUAUCGGAUGGGCAUGCGUCCUAUUAGUUAGUUGGCGGGGUAACAGCCCACCAAGACGAUGAUAGGUAGGGGUUCUGAGAGGAAGGUCCCCCACAUUGGAACUGAGACACGGUCCAA
rnacentral:rRNA from 1 species